AAAAGAAAGAAAUCUAAUUAACAAAAGGUGUCCUCAAUUGAGGUUACAAUUAACAAUAAUUAACAAUUGCAAAAUAAACAGACUUUACAUUUAUAU